UUUGGAGAAUUUGAUGUUUCCCCAUUCAAAGAGAUAGGAGCUGCAUGGAUGCCCAGGAUGCCCGAGAGGCGUUUCAAAGAUGGCCGCCAAGUGAAAUGACUUGUCUUAAAGGGACUUUGCUUGUAAUUGUGUUUGUGUUGACUUUCUGAACCCAGAUGUUAAAGGAGCCACAGAAACCUCUGACGUCUCCAAAUUAAGCUUCUGUGUGAACAUUUCAGAUCCAGUGUCUCCAAAUGAAAGAAUUUGAAAAACAAUUGUAAUGAUUGUGUAGCAGUUGCAGUUGUGGAGAAAAUGCUAAAGCUCUGCUCACAGAUAUCCAAGAGUUUUAAAACACGUAGGGUCAGUUUCACAGACGGACAAUUAGGACACUUAACUAGGUUUUACAAAUGUGUCUUGGACAAAAAUAAUACUGCGUGCAUCUUGAGACGAAACAAUGGCAGUGGCAGUGACAUUUUUUUUAAGACCAAGUUGCUUUCAGUUAAAACAGCUAGCAAAUCAAAGUUAUUAAUAAUUUAGGCUAUAUUCGAUAUAAACUGGUAGUAGGCUAUUAUUUUUCUUCAAAAUUAUCUAAAAAAUUUAAUGCCUGUAGAAAUAAAAUUUUAUGCUUUUUAAUGCCAUUUAAGGCCUUAAUUUUCAUAAAAUCCAUUUAAUGACUUUUACUGCUUUUUAAUGCCCGUGGAUACCCUUAAUGUCGAGCCCUGUAUGUAAUCUUAGUGGGCUGCGUUUCAGUCGCCAUUUCAUAUUGAACCAUUUCUGACCGCCCCCCCUGUUACAUUUAUUACAUUCUUCCAAUACAGAAUCUGAAUUAAAAUGUGUUUGAUUUAAGCCUACAUUUCAAAAUUUUGUGUCAUAAAAUUAUAUCGCGCAUACAGCUCAACUAACGCGAUCGUUAUAAAGGUGUUUAAACAACAAUACACUUCCACUUGCAUGUAGGCCUAUUUGACAAUCGGAAUAUCAGAUAUUUCAUGCGAUAGCUAACACAUAUACAUUCAUAAAUCAGUCAAUUGUAUUUUAUUAUGAGAUAUUUUAUUCUAAUGUGAUCAGUGACCCAAGCACUGAUGGACCAAAGAGCGCGCAUUUCGACAUUUGCAGUAAAAACUUGAAAUAUAAAUUCUCAGAAAAUGCAUUUAAUACCAAUAUAUUGAAACGUCUGUUCAUAUACUCCAUUAAUAAAGUCCAGACAUUGGAAAAAUAUCAGUCCACAUGCGUUUUAUAUUUAAUAUGAGGGAAAUAGACAUGCAUGCAUGCGUGACACAAAAAAAUCUUUAACUUUUAGGUAGCAAAAUAUUUUUUAGUAAUUCUGUCAAUUACACUAAGGUUAUUACAUUGUCUGCUAUAUAUUUGCUUCUUAUUUAUUAAAUACGGACAAUUGAUUGAUAAAACAUUGAUCAAAAUUAAGAUACAAUUUAUACAAAACGAAUAUCUUUUAAAAAGAGUUUUCUAUAAAACAAAACUUAAUGAAGUCGUCAAAAUCAUGUUUUACCAAAAACAGCGCCGUUGCUAGGAGGGCGCCAGCGCCUCUGCCUUUCAGCGCCUAUGCCUCGCGAGUGGAUGAUAGCCCUGAAGACGCCUAGCAAUGAUAUACCUUUAGUGGUAGUAUAUCUUUAGUUAAGUUAUACCUUAAGAGUCUUCGUAGCGCGCUAAGAGACAAUGUUAUCGGGAAACGCAGCCCAGGUAUGAUGCAUUUCAUCUUUGGAUCUCUUUGGAGAUUCCAAAGCGCUCUUCUUUGGUCAGAACCAUGGAGAGCGAUCGCGGAUAGGUCUGUCCUAUGCACCGAAACUUUUAACAAUGCAACAAAAUAUUUAAAGAACAUCAAGCUAUUAAAAUCUAUAUUAUGUAUACGCACAGAUAAUAUAACAGUAGGCUAUAUUAGUCAAUAUUUUUUAUUAGGUUAAGCAGUGAUUGGAUAACGUUUUUUUUUUUUUUUUUUAUUUAACAUUUUUAAUUUAAGGCCCACCCACAAUUGGUCUGGCCCAUCCAAAACUGGAAUCAUGGCGCCGUGCCUGGGCCACACUGAGCUGUGCGUAACGCCCACAGACGUGAAGUGAACGAGACAGAGGCUGUCCUGUACUGUCUGAAAUGGUUAACUCUGUGGCGAUGCAUGUGCAAAACAGAUUUAACUAAUCAUAAAGUCAAUCAGGAUACAUAACACAGCCUACUAUAGGCCUACACUAACACCCCCCCCCCCCCCCCACAAUAUAGUUCCCACAUCCCUGGUUACAAGUAACUUGAGUUACGUGAUCAGAUUACUUUUUUUCAAGUAAGUUGUAAAGUAACACAUUACUUUUUCAAUUUACAACAAAAUAUGUUACUUUUUCAAAUAAGUAACUGUCACGGUUCAUGGAUUCAUUUACUCGCCCUCGUGUGUUUGUUGUGUGUGUAUGUGUGUGAGUGAAUGAUUGUGUGGGCGUCACCCAUUAUGGUCUGAUUGUGAUCUGCUGCCAGCCGUGUCUUGUUUAUGCGUGUUAUUUAAUGUGCGUGGCUACAUGUCGUCUUUGUCAGUUCGUUGCAGGUUGUCCCGGUGUCGUGCUCUCUGUUGUCUCUCCCUGGUUCUCGGAUCUCUGGACUGUCGUCGUGUGCCCUGCUUUCUGGGCUGGAUUAUCCUUGGUCUCUGAUACCCGUUGCAGCCCUGCGCCACCCUGCUCGUCACCACUCUGCACGCCUCAGUCUCUGCAUUGACUGUCCAUUUGGAGUGAAGUUAUUGUACAGCGAAUUCUGUCAAUAAAUAUUGUUAUACUUGCACUUGGA